ACAGCUGCUUUGCCUCAGGCAUAAAUCAGAAGAGGAAAACCAGCUUCUGGACCCGGAGGGAGGAUGAAACGGAAUAGGAAUUGAGGGAAGUGGAAGGGAAGACUAAGGGACCCCUGGAGAGUCCCUACUAAGCCAGACAUGACAAACAAAAGUCCUCUGCUACUGGGGAAGACAGAACAGAGAAGCCAGCAGGGGAAGAAAAAGAUGAUGCUGUUCUUGAUGCCUCAAAAACGGCAAGGGAGAACCCAGGCAACUGAUAUACACACCCUUGGAACAAAUCUACCCCAGAAGUACAAGACACACACUUCAAAUUCAUGGAAUAAAUGGGAGAAUUUUCAGGAAAAUAGGAAAAAAAAUUCACAACAUGAGGGAAGUUGUAAGACAUGGGAAAUGAUAGAGUGCUUUGCACCCAGGCCUGUGGAGCCUGACUCCCCUGCUGAGAUGGUAAGUAGAAACCUCAUUGGAUUUUCCCCUCUACUUUUAGUUUUGAGGGUAUUUUGAAACUUACCAAAUGUUCUUAUGUCUCUAUUUUGUCACUGGGCGACCACCUUGGAUAAUGGCUCUUCACUCCAGUCACACUUCAGAAGAUGCCAACAGGACAACCGAGCAGCAGGUGCCCUGCCUCAGGUGGACAGCCUCCAGUCUUGGUGAUAACUAUACAUUGUGUCAUCUUCCACAUAUCCAUAUAAAUCUCAUACGUGUUCACUUUUACUUUAAAAUAUUUAUAAAAGUUUGUAAUUUGAAAAAUAUUUACUUAAGAAGAACAUAUUAAGUGUCUAUAUGUGACUCUGUAUUAAGUCAGCUUCACUAAACUGGAACUAUGUUUUCCAGAAUUCACUUUCCUGUAUGUUUCAGGGUGAGGGUUGUCCACAAGAGAAAUUUUCAUAAGAUUUGGGAAACAGAAGAGAAGCCCAGCCAUUUUUGUAUGCUCUGAAAUUUGGUGCAUGGUGCCAGGCAUGAUGGCAGCCUGUGCAUGCUGUCACUAAUCUACUUGGCCUACCUGGGUGGCCAGGUGGAUAGCACCUGGAUCUGCAGCUUCUCCAGUUCUUGCUGGAUUGUCUGCACUGGUCACUCUGUUUUCUAGCUCUAUGUCAAUGGGGAUUAGCUUCUCUUGCAGGUCACCUGUGUUGUGGGUUGGAUGUAGUGAGAGACAGAUAUUGGUUCUAGUCUAUCCUUGUUCUCUCCCACUUUGCAUCCAGCUGUUCUUCCCAACUACUGUUCCAGCUUGCCUAUUGCAAUCUCAGGCCCCACAUCAGAUGCAGAGGAAAGAUCUAGCUACUUUGUUUUACAUGACUCACAGUAGUACUGCUUCUCUGGUUGACCCCUGACUGAUACAGCCUAUAUAUGUCAGACACUGUGCUGUGUUUGGAGAUAGCAAUGGUGAGCCAGUUCAGUACUGACCUUUUAUAUAGAGCUUAAAGUCUAACUUAGGAUAUUAUUAUUACAAUAAAAAGAAAUAACACGUGUUCUUUUUAAUUUUCAAUCAAGCUGAGGGUGUUUAAUAAGCUUUCAUUUUUAUAGCCCUUUUUUACUUUUCAAAGAGCUUUCUUGUUAUUUACUCACUGUUACAUCUUUAGAGCUGUGAAGACUAAGCAGAGAUUUAAGAACACUCCUAUUCCAAGGUUGCACAAUUUGUAAGUGGCAGGAAUGUAGUCUUCUGGUUCAUAUUCCAGUGCUUGUCUUAAUAUGAAAGUUAUGAAAAUUAAUCAAAUUUUGUACUUUCUUGGAGCAAAGGUUACUAUCAGAUCAGUUGUGUCUACAUUUCACCAAAAUAUUUACCAAUCCAGAAAAAGAAAGCCAAUAGGAGAUACUUGGCACCACGUAGGAAACCACAUUGGAUUUCUCAGUUUUCAAACAAUUAUCUUGACGUCAAGAAGAUAUGACCCUAGAAAUAUGAAAAAAAUAAAAUGUCAUUUGUCUUGGUGCCCUUUCCUCUGAUGCGAAGCUUCAUGUAAUAGGCAUCUACAGGUUUCACUUUCAGACUGUGUUCCUCCACAGAAUGGCAGGAGAGAUGCUGAAAUUUGUGCCAAGAUUUCACUGGAGGUGAUCGUUUUCAAUCUAUGUACACAGGGACACAGCUGGAGUGACAGACACUUCUGCCAAUUAUGCCACCUAGAUGGAUUUUGACACAAAAAAUGAUAGUCAUGACAGCAUUUCCUCCAGAGCCUAAAAACUGUGAGUGGGUCAGAAGAGUUAUCUAGUCAGCUCUAGAUUCUGUCUCCUUCUAAGCAACCAAAAGCAGGGUUGUUCCCCUCUGUGAUGUCAUUCCCUGAGAGUCAGAGGAUGUUUCUAUCAUCCUUAAUGUGGUUCUUUUUUUUUUUUUUUUUUUUUUUUUUUUUUUUUGAGACGGAGUCUCGCUGUGCUCCCAGGCUGGAGUGCAGUGGCGUGAUCUCGGCUCACUGCAAGCUCCGCCCCCCGGGUUCACGCCAUUCUCCCGCCUCAGCCUCCCAAGUAGCUGAGACUACAGGCGCCCACCACCACGCCCGGCUAGUUUUUUGUAUUUUUAGUAGAGACGGGGUUUCACCAUGUUAGCCAGGAUAGUCUCGAUCUCCUGACCUCGUGAUCCACCCGCCUCGGCCUCCCAAAGUGCUGGGAUUACAGGCUUGAGCCACCGCGCCCGGCCAAUGUGGUUCUAAAGACAUUUUAUUAUAAAGUUAAUGUAUGCUGUUUU
ensembl:lncRNA